ACACUCCUGCGGGAGGCAGCAGUGGGGAAUAUUGCACAAUGGGCGCAAGCCUGAUGCAGCCAUGCCGCGUGUAUGAAGAAGGCCUUCGGGUUGUAAAGUACUUUCAGCGGGGAGGAAGGCAAUACGGUUAAUAACCGUGUUGAUUGACGUUACCCGCAGAAGAAGCACCGGCUAACUCCGUGCCAGCAGCCGCGGUAAUACGGAGGGUGCAAGCGUUAAUCGGAAUUACUGGGCGUAAAGCGCACGCAGGCGGUCUGUCAAGUCGGAUGUGAAAUCCCCGGGCUCAACCUGGGAACUGCAUUCGAAACUGGCAGGCUUGAGUCUUGUAGAGGGGGGUAGAAUUCCAGGUUUAGCGGUGAAAUGCGUAGAGAUCUGGAGGAAUACCGGUGGCGAAGGCGGCCCCCUGGACAAAGACUGACGCUCAGGUGCGAAAGCGUGGGGAGCAAACAGGAUUAGAAACCCGAGUAGUCCCAUG
rnacentral:rRNA from 1 species